AGUUGACCCUAUAUUCUCUCGCCAUCAUCGAAUUGAAUCAGUCAACAAGAGAUAUACGUUUCAUAGCCUCUCAUUAGUCAUCUCUCAAAGAACCCUUGCAUUUCUUCUCUCGAAGGCAACAAUAUACAAAAAUCUACUCUCUUCAUCGCCUCUCACUACCAAGAAAAAACUGAUUGAACGAUGGUGACUGUGGCUAAAAAUAGUUAAAUCGGCUUCAAAACCAUUAUACAAAAAGCCCUAAAACAAACAUUCUUCCAUCGUCUAAUCGUCUCCCAAUUCACUUCUGAAGGACUCCCACUCGAAAGUAAUUUUUUCUGAAGACCUUUGAAAGAUCCAAUUUUCUUUUAUCUAAUUCAAGGAAGAUUCAAAAAUUAGAAAAGGAAGAAGCUGAAACGUGAGUUUAUUCAAGCUUCAUAUUUCCAUGUUUGUGUAAUUGAUGAAAGAUAUGGAUUUAUGUUUAAUUUUUUUUUAAUAAUGGCUAGCAUUUUGUGAUUUAGUCACCCUGAUUUAUUUAAGUACUUGCUUUCUGGUGUCUUGUAGGGCAUAGAGAAACGAUUUGAAUAUGGAUUCGAAAAUCAACUACCCACAUUUGUUUUGCAUCUAAUCCAUCUGCUAGGUUUCUUUCAGAAAAUGGAUAAAAUAAGGCAAAAACAUAUAUAUAUUUGUUUUAUUUGUUUAUUAGUAAGUGCUGAAGUUUCUCAGAUUUUCCAAGAACUUUUUGCAUUGAUAGUAUCUGUUUAACUCUGUAUGUGUAUGUGAUUGAACUUUGUUUGUGUGAAAUUUCUUGUAAGGAUUUAAAUAUGUGCUUUUUGAUGACUUUUUGUAGGAUAAAAUCAAAUCUUGGAUCAUUGUUUUGCUAUUUGGAACACACAAGGUAUCUUUCACUAAGCACUCAUAUUUAACAUAAACAUAGCUAACUGAUUCAAGUAAAUGUCGAUUUUUUUUCACAAUCAUUUUUAAAAUAUCUAAUUUUGGUUGAAUUGUGUUUUUAACUGUUUCUGGAGUUUAUAGCAUAAUGGUCUAGGAAGAUGUGUAGCCCGUGAAAGAUCAUGCUCAAGCUUGUGGAUAGACCUACUGAAAGUCACAAUCCUUAAAAGAAAAUUGGUUUAUUUUUUUCAGCCUUUUGUUUGCAUGUUGACUCACCAGCUGCCAUGGGAUUCACAUUGUAGCUUGAGAUUUAGAUGUUUAUGUUGGUUUUCGAGUUUGGUCUUGGUGUUACUUUUAACAGAAAAAAAAAAUAUAUUUGAUUAAUGACUUAUGAUAUGAUGAAAUGUAUCAAGUUUCAAGAGUUGGGCCGAAUUAAAGUGUUUUUUUUAAGUUAGUGUAAUUUUUUCUUAGAUAUAUGAAUGUGUAGUUUAUAAUUUCGUUUUUGGUUUGCAGGGGCAAAAGGUUUUAAUAUUCAGGAUGAAAAUAUUUUAUUUAAAGAAUCUUUUGACUUAUUUUGACAGAAGUGUUUUGAAGACACGUCUCCAAGGACGUCAUGUUAUGCUUCCACGGGGAAUUUGGUGAUGAAAAAGAUGCAGAUAUGGCUUAUUACCAACCUACUUUUAACAAGAAAGUUAAAUAUGAAGGAGUUGGUUUAGUUACUUUGAGUGAAUGCUUGAAGAUUUUUUGAAUAAGAAGACCCAAAUCGGUUAUUUUGCCCAUUUCUUCCGAGUCCACCAACAGGGAAUGUUUUUGGAUCCAUGUGGCUAUGGUCUUGGGUGUUGAACUGUUGAUGAUGAGAAUAUACAUAGACUCUUCAAAUAUGAUCCAUCAGACACUUUUUUAUUUGGAGAUAAGUCAAUAUACAGGAUUUUCGAAGAGAGGGACCAAAGGUGACAAAAUGGGGAACAUGGGAGGCUUGAAAAACAAGAAAAUAAUAAAUUCACGAUAAACUCUCAAUUCACGACGUGGCGAUGAAGCCCACAACGUGGCACGGGUGUUCCAGAAGAUAAACAUCGCGACGCGGAGGAUUUCCUUGAAGGAUACGGAUUGCUUGAAGCCCACGACGUGGCGCAGCCUGGCCACGACGUGGCGCGGGUUUUUAAGGAUUAUAUAAGUCCUCCUGAUUAUUACGAAAGAAGAAGCAUUUGGCAGAAGAAAAAGAGUUCCAGGAGACGAUUCAGAGCGAAAGAAAGGUUCUGGAAGAGGGUUUUCAACACCAAAAGAAGUAAAGGUUUAUAUUUUAGUUAAAUAAGAACAUGUCUUUCAUUAGUUUUAGCUGUGUUAGUUUAAUUACUAUGAUGAGCAGCUGAAUCUAGCUACUCUUGUUUAGCUAGAUGAAGCUUUAAACUUAUGAAUAGUUAUAUGCUUAUGGAUUGAGCUUAGUUGGUAAGAAUUUGCUUGUGUUUGAUUUGUAUAACCUAGCAUGUUAUUAUUUGUUUAUCUAAUUGCUUGAUUGCA